CGCAAGCCUGACGGAGCAAGACCGCGUGCGGGAUGACGGCCUAAUGGUUGUAAACCGCUUUUCUCUGGGAAGAUGAUGACGGUACCAGAGGAAUCAGCCUCGGCUAACUCCGUGCCAGCAGCCGCGGUAAUACGGAGGAGGCAAGCGUUAUCCGGAAUUAUUGGGCGUAAAGCGUCCGUAGGUGGUUAUUCAAGUCUGUUGUCAAAGCGUGGGGCUUAACUCCAUAGAGGCAGUGGAAACUGGAUGACUUGAGUGCGGUAGGGGUCGAGGGAAUUCCCAGUGUAGCGGUGAAAUGCGUAGAUAUUGGGAAGAACACCAGUGGCGAAAGCGCUCGACUGGGCCUGCACUGACACUGAGGGACGAAAGCUAGGGGAGCG
rnacentral:rRNA from 1 species